rnacentral:misc_RNA from 1 species
GAUGAAGAACGUAGCGAAAUGCGAUAAGUAAUGUGAAUUGCAGAAUUCAGUGAAUCAUCGAAUCUUUGAACGCACAUUGCGCCCGCCAGUAUUCUGGCGGGCAUGCCUGUUCGAGCGUCAUUUCAACCAUCAAGCCCCCGGCUUGUGUUGGGGACCUGCGGCUGCCGCAGGCCCUGAAAACCAGUGGCGGGCUCGCUGUCACACCGAGCGUAGUAGAUUUUCAUCUCGCUCAGGGCGUGCUGCGGGUUCCGGCCGUAAAAAGCCUUAUUUACCCAAGGUUGACCUCGGAUCAGGUAGGAAGACCCGCUGAACUUAAGCAUAUCAACAAGCGGAGGA